rnacentral:rRNA from 1 species
AACGCCGCGUGAGUGAAGAAGGUUUUCGGAUCGUAAAACUCUGUUGUAAGGGAAGAACACGUACGAGAGUAACUGCUCGUACCUUGACGGUACCUUAUUAGAAAGCCACGGCUAACUACGUGCCAGCAGCCGCGGUAAUACGUAGGUGGCAAGCGUUGUCCGGAAUUAUUGGGCGUAAAGCGCGCGCAGGCGGUUCUUUAAGUCUGAUGUGAAAGCCCACGGCUCAACCGUGGAGGGUCAUUGGAAACUGGAGAACUUGAGUACAGAAGAGGAAAGCGGAAUUCCACGUGUAGCGGUGAAAUGCGUAGAGAUGUGGAGGAACACCAGUGGCGAAGGCGGCUUUCUGGUCUGUA